rnacentral:rRNA from 1 species
CCUACGGGAGGCAGCAGUAGGGAAUCUUCCGCAAUGGACGAAAGUCUGACGGAGCAACGCCGCGUGAGUGAUGAAGGCUUUCGGGUCGUAAAACUCUGUUGUUAGGGAAGAACAAGUACAAGAGUAACUGCUUGUACCUUGACGGUACCUAACCAGAAAGCCACGGCUAACUACGUGCCAGCAGCCGCGGUAAUACGUAGGUGGCAAGCGUUAUCCGGAAUUAUUGGGCGUAAAGCGCGCGCAGGCGGUUUCUUAAGUCUGAUGUGAAAGCCCACGGCUCAACCGUGGAGGGUCAUUGGAAACCGGGGAACUUGAGUGCAGAAGAGAAAAGCGGAAUUCCACGUGUAGCGGUGAAAUGCGUAGAGAUGUGGAGGAACACCAGUGGCGAAGGCGGCUUUUUGGUCUGUAACUGACGCUGAGGCGCGAAAGCGUGGGGAGCAAACAGGAUUAGAUACCCUGGUAGUCCACGCCGUAAACGAUGAGUGCUAAGUGUUAGAGGGUUUCCGCCCUUUAGUGCUGCAGCUAACGCAUUAAGCACUCCGCCUGGGGAGUACGGUCGCAAGACUGAAACUCAAAUGAAUUGACGGGG